rnacentral:rRNA from 1 species
UACGUAGGGUGCGAGCGUUGUCCGGAAUUAUUGGGCGUAAAGAGCUCGUAGGCGGUUUGUCGCGUCGACUGUGAAAACUGGGGGCUUAACUCUCAGCUUGCAGUUGAUACGGGCAGACUUGAGUUCGGUAGGGGAGACUGGAAUUCCUGGUGUAGCGGUGAAAUGCGCAGAUAUCAGGAGGAACACCGGUGGCGGAAGGCGGGUCUCUGGGCCGACUACUGACGCUGAGGAGCGAAAGCGUGGGGAGCGAACAGG